rnacentral:rRNA from 1 species
CCUACGGGAGGCAGCAGUGAGGAAUAUUGGUCAAUGGGCGAGAGCCUGAACCAGCCAAGUCGCGUGAAGGAUGACGGCCCUACGGGUUGUAAACUUCUUUUGUCAGGGAGCAAUUGGGUCCACGCGUGGGCUUAGCGAGAGUACCUGAAGAAAAAGCAUCGGCUAACUCCGUGCCAGCAGCCGGGGUAAUACGGAGGAUGAGCGCGUUAUCCGGAUUUAUUGGGUUUAAAGGGUGCGUAGGCGGAAUAUCAAGUCAGCGGUAAAAAUUCGGGGCUCAACCCCGUCGUGCCGUUGAAACUGAUGGUCUUGAGUGGGCGAGAAGUAUGCGGAAUGCGUGGUGUAGCGGUGAAAUGCAUAGAUAUCACGCAGAACUCCGAUUGCGAAGGCAGCAUACCGGCGCCCAACUGACGCUGAAGCACGAAAGCGUGGGUAUCGAACAGGAUUAGAUACCCCGGUAGUC